rnacentral:rRNA from 1 species
AUGGUGAAGCAAAUACAGCAUAAAUUUGAGGUCACCAUAAGUCAAUUUGAAUCGGAGAUUGCUGACCUAAAGAGCCAGCUGAAGCUGCAAGUGCUUGAAACUCAAAAGGCAAACUCCAAGUUUGAAUUCAGCAUCUCUGAACAAGAAAAACUGAAGAAAAUUUUUGAGUCGGAGAAACAAGCUUGGGUUGAUGAGAGGGUUGCAUUAGUGACUCGGGCCGAAACGACAGAAGCAUCUCUUGCGGAAGCAACAACCGAACUAUCCGACUUAAAGCGGCAGAUAUCCCAAAUGGUCUCAGCCAUCUUCAGCCCCAGGAGUACCAACCUCAAGCAAAACAUACUGAUCAAGCUCAAGGCGGUUUACACCCUUGUGGAGCAGCUGUACACCGGGUCACAACGUGCCUUGGCCGUUGUAGCUUUAUCAACUCCACAUCCCCGCCUUCUGCAAGACGUAUUGAAGAGCCUCGCUUUUCUUCCUCAGCGGAUCCAAGAUCUAAGGCGGGCGUCCUCAAGAGCCGGAGCUGUAGCCGCAUUGAGUCGGGCUAAAGCAUGGCUCCCGGAACUAGACCCGGCCGACCUUGCCCUUGGAUACCCAAGUCUGAAGGAGGACGGUACUACCUUUGAUGAUCAUGAUUUCAACGCCUGUGUCAAAGCCAUACGUCCCGUGGCGACUCUUAUUGGAAAUGACACAGAUCUUAGCAAGUAUGCAUCGGCUUAUGACAGUGAAAACCGGAGAAUCCCAAAUGCUCCGUAUGAUCAAAUCAGCCUGAUCCCUCCAAUGCGUAAGCAUACCUUUGCCCCUGAAGUGGACCCGGCUGGUUUAAUAGAUGAUGAGGCUGAAUUUGAAGCCUUAAGCGGCAUUGACUGGGCCUCGUCCACCUUCCAGGACAAAGCAACCGACGGGGAGGCGGAGAAGGAUAACCCGAAGCCAUCAAGCCCGCCAAAGGAUUGA